GAUGAACGCUGGCGGCGUGCCUAAUACAUGCAAGUCGAGCGAACAGACCAGGCGCUUGCUCCUCUGACGUUAGCGGCGGACGGGUGAGUAACACGUGUAUCACCUCCCUGUCAGUCUGGUAUAACCUCGAGACACCGGCGCUAAUCCCAGAUGAUCUAUUGAACCGCAGGGUUCGAUGGUGAAUGACGGUUUUGCUGUCUCUUCUCGCUGGAUCCGCGCCGUAUUAGCUAGUUGUUAAGGUAACGGCUUACCAAGGCAACGAUGCGUAGCCGACCGGAGAGGGUGAUCGGCCACACUGGAACUGAGACACGGUCCAGACUCCUACGGGAGGCAGCAGUAGGGAAUCGUACGCAAUGGGCGAAAGCAUGACGGAGCAACGGCGCGUGUGUGAUGAAGGUCCUCGGAUCGUAAAAAUGUGUUAUUAGGGAAGAACAAAUGUGUAAGUAACUAUGCCCGUCUUGACGGUAACUAAUAAGAAAGCGACGGCUAACUACGUG
rnacentral:rRNA from 1 species